rnacentral:rRNA from 1 species
UACAGAGGUGGCAAGCGUUGUUCGGAAUUACUGGGCGUAAAGGGCGCGUAGGCGGCCUGCUAAGUCACACGUGAAAUCCCUCGGCUCAACCGGGGAACUGCGUGUGAUACUGGCGGGCUUGAAUUCGGGAGAGGGGUGUGGAAUUCCAGGUGUAGCGGUGAAAUGCGUAGAUAUCUGGAGGAACACCGGUGGCGAAGGCGGCAUCCUGGACCGAGAUUGACGCUGAGGCGCGAAAGCUAGGGGAGCAAACGGG